UACGUAGGGCGCGAGCGUUGUCCGGAAUCAUUGGGCGUAAAGAGCUCGUAGGCGGCCUGUCGCGUCUGCUGUGAAAUCCCGGGGCUCAACCCCGGGCGUGCAGUGGAUACGGGCUGGCUGGAGGCAGGCAGGGGAGAACGGAAUUCCCGGUGUAGCGGUGAAAUGCGCAGAUAUCAGGAGGAACACCAAUGGCGAAGGCAGCUCGCUGGGACGGUACUGACGCUGAGACGCGAAAGCGUGGGGAGCAAACAGG
rnacentral:rRNA from 1 species